rnacentral:rRNA from 1 species
UACGUAUGGAGCAAGCGUUAUCCGGAUUUACUGGGUGUAAAGGGAGCGUAGGCGGCCCUGUAAGUCUGAUGUGAAAAUUUGGGGCUCAACCCCAAACGUGCAUUGGAAACUGCAGGGCUUGAGUGCCGGAGAGGCAGGCGGAAUUCCUAGUGUGGCGGUGAAAUGCGUAGAUAUUAGGAGGAACACCAGUGGCGAAGGCGGCCUGCUGGACGGUAACUGACGCUGAGGCUCGAAAGCGUGGGGAGCAAACAGG